rnacentral:rRNA from 1 species
AGAUUAAGUUAUUAAGGGCGCACGGUGGAUGCCUUGGCACUAGAAGCCGAUGAAGGACGUUACUAACGACGAUAUGCUUUGGGGAGCUGUAAGUAAGCUUUGAUCCAGAGAUUUCCGAAUGGGGAAACCCAGCAUGAGUUAUGUCAUGUUAUCGAUAUGUGAAUACAUAGCAUAUCAGAAGGCACACCCGGAGAACUGAAACAUCUUAGUACCCGGAGGAAGAGAAAGAAAAUUCGAUUCCCUUAGUAGCGGC